rnacentral:rRNA from 1 species
AACAGGAUUAGAUACCCUGGUAGUCCACGCCGUAAACGAUGUCAACUAGUUGUUCGUGUCAUUAAGACGUGAGUAACGCAGCUAACGCACUAAGUUGACCGCCUGGGGAGUACGGCCGCAAGGUUAAAACUCAAAUGAAUUGACGGGGGCCCGCACAAGCGGUGGAGCAUGUGGUUUAAUUCGAUGCAACGCGAAGAACCUUACCAUCCCUUGACAUCCAGUGAAUUUUUCAGAGAUGAAUUAGUGCCUUCGGGAACACUGAGACAGGUGCUGCAUGGCUGUCGUCAGCUCGUGUUGUGAGAUGUUGGGUUAAGUCCCGCAACGAGCGCAACCCUUAUCCUUAGUUGCCAGCACGUAAUGGUGGGAACUCUGGGGAGACUGCCGGUGAUAAACCGGAGGAAGGUGGGGACGACGUCAAGUCAUCAUGGCCCUUACGGGAUGGGCUACACACGUGCUACAAUGGCGCAUACAAAGGGCAGCAAGCCAGCGAUGGUUAGCGAAUCUCAUAAAGUGCGUCGUAGUCCGGAUCGGAGUCUGCAACUCGACUCCGUGAAGUCGGAAUCGCUAGUAAUCGUGGAUCAGAAUGCCACGGUGAAUACGUUCCCGGGCCUUGUACACACCGCCCGUCACACCAUGGGAGUGGGCUGCACCAGAAGUGGUUAGUUUAACCUUCGGGAGAACGAUCACCACGGUGUGGUUCAUGACUGGGGUGAAGUCGUAACAAGGUAACC